CUACCUCCGAAUUGGGGAUAACAUUGCGAAAGCGAUGCUAAUACCGAAUGAUAUCUUUUUAGCCUCGGCUUUAAAGAUCAAAGGUGGUCACUACAUGUAAGCUACUGUUUGGAGAUGAGCCCGCGUACCAUUAGCUUGUUGGUAGGGUAAUGGCUUACCAAGGCUUCGAUGGUUAGCUGGUCUGAGAGGAUGAUCAGCCACACUGGAACUGACACACGGUCCAG
rnacentral:rRNA from 1 species